UAACGUUUACCGAUUUGUGUUUGACGCGUAUGAAGCCACAUGGAAGCGAUCUCCGUGGAGCCUAGACUUUCCCACCUUUUUCGCCAACAUCAGUUUUGCAAACUUUCAUGAAUGAGUCUGGAGCUUUGUUAAGGAGCACUUGUUACUCCUGGACUACAGAGUUGUUUCUGUCUUGAAAUGAGCUUAUGAGGGACUUAUGGCAGCCGGAAUAUUGAAAAAAAAAAUCGUGUUUUCCUUCUAUCAGAGAACGUGGAAAAAGAAGCCUCCAUUACUGUAGAUAUUUAUUAAAGACUGAAACCUUGAAUAGAUUUAAUCCAACAUGUACAAUUCUAAUCCAAGGAAAAUCAAGCUUCAAGCUGUGUUCGUGGGCCAUGUGAUUGAUUCUAUCACGUUCUUGGUGUCCAGGCCACGAAAAGUAAAGCCACCUCCCACUUUGAAAGAAGUGCUUUCGCUGGAGUCUCAAUUAUGGGACAUGAGAUACGAACUGGCAGUCCCUAGCUUUUGGAAGAUGUCAAAGAGUCAACUGGUGUCCGUGAUAUUGUGGAGAGAAGUUGAUAAACGAGGAAGGAUCAGUGAGAUCCACUCUGAUCUGAAUUUGGUCAACGUUCUUCUCGUUGAUACCGGUGAGGUCCUCAAGGAUAUUGACGUUGAGUCCAGAAUAAGAGAGCUUCCAGUUUCGUUUGUUGGAACACCCGCUUUAGCUUUAUAGACUGAAUCUCAAAGAAUUGGAGAAGACAAAUGAAGCAUCGAGGAAAUGGUUCGAUCGCUCGUGGCAUGCGCUGAUAGAACUUGGCUAAAAUCAUCCAAAGGGGAUCCGUUACUCGACCUGGUUCUUUAUUUGAGGAAUGCAGUCCAAUCAACACGCCUCGGGCUCUGAUCGAAUACGAAUAUCUGAAUAGAGACAACAACUGUGUUUCGAUUCGAGAAGUCCUGUCCGAAUUUCGUUCCCCCAUCAUUGAAGACACUCACACACCUUGUUGGGCGAAUCCCUCCAAAAACCCAGGCCAUUCAACGAACGCUCUGGAAUGACCAGUGACUAUUUCUCCCUUGACUUUCAAGAUGAAGGCAAAUUGCCUAACCAGUCUAGCAUUUGCGGUGGAUUGGAAACUGAUGAAAUGUUAAGAUGAGGCGAAUUUUAUUCCCGAUGACAUAUCGUCAAUCGAGGUGAGACAAGGGGACAACUAUCAUUCGAUAAAAUACACUUCAUUCGCCCGAAGCGUCAUCGACAAUUGACUGACCAUUGAGGGUCAAUCUUCAAUUGGACGUACUAAGUGAAGUGUCUGUUUAGAAUGCCAUUUUUGAAUCAACUUCUAGGAAAACAAGCGACUUAAAGCCUCAAUCAAUCAGU